rnacentral:rRNA from 1 species
UACGUAGGGUGCAAGCGUUGUCCGGAAUUAUUGGGCGUAAAGAGCUCGUAGGUGGUUUGUCGCGUUGUUCGUGAAAACCGGGGGCUUAACCCUCGGCGUGCGGGCGAUACGGGCAGACUGGAGUACUGCAGGGGAGACUGGAAUUCCUGGUGUAGCGGUGGAAUGCGCAGAUAUCAGGAGGAACACCGGUGGCGAAGGCGGAUCUCUGGGCCAUUACUGACGCUGAGGAGCGAAAGCGUGGGGAGCGAACAGG